UACAGAGGGUGCGAGCGUUAAUCGGAAUUACUGGGCGUAAAGCGUGCGUAGACGGUUAUUUAAGUCGGAUGUGAAAGCCCCGGGCUCAACCUGGGAAUGCCAUUUGAGACUGCAUAGCUAGGGUACGGAAGAGGGAAGCGGAAUUUCAGGUGUAGCGGUGAAAUGCGUAGAUAUCUGAAGGAACACCAGUGGCGAAAGCGGCUUCCUGGUCCAGUACCGACGUUCAGGCACGAAAGCGUGGGGAGCAAACAGG
rnacentral:rRNA from 1 species